rnacentral:rRNA from 1 species
GACGUAGGGGGCGAGCGUUGUUCGGAAUUAUUGGGCGUAAAGGGCUCGUAGGCGGCGCGGCGAGUUGGGAGUGAAAUCUCUGGGCUUAACCCAGAGGCUGCUUCCAAAACUGGUGUGCUUGAGUGUGGGAGAGGCGCGUGGAAUUGCAGGUGUAGCGGUGAAAUGCGUAGAUAUCGGGAGGAACACCUGUGGCGAAAGCGGCGCACUGGACCAUAACUGACGCUGAGGCGCGAAAGCUAGGGGAGCAAACAGG